rnacentral:misc_RNA from 1 species
UGCACUGCAACAAGUGAAAGCCAAUCUUUGCGGUGCAUCCCAUCUCUUGCAAAAUUGACACCCAAUGCUGGCUCUGGGAGCUCUGGUGGAACUUCCUCUGCUGGCAGAGUCACCUCCCACGACUCAUUUGGGUGUCCAUACAAACACAAAUUCUCCUUUUCUGGAUCGCAUUGAGAGUAGAAUUCAUCCACAUCGUAAGUGAGAGCACGAACGAGGCCGGUGCGGCGAGCGCUAUAGUCUUUGAAGAUCUCCUCUACAGUACGAGGACUAGAAGAGAUUGAAGCCAUUUACAUGCAUAAACUAGUGCAAAUGCAAUUACAGAAAAAAGUAGCAGAUCAGAUAAAUUACAGUUUGGGAUUUCAGAGGAUAAUAGGAGAAGAAGGAAGCUAUGCAGAUAUCGAUUAAUACAAGACUCAGCGAGAGAGAAGAGAGAAGAGAGAAG